rnacentral:rRNA from 1 species
UACGUAGGGUGCAAGCGUUGUCCGGAAUUAUUGGGCGUAAAGAGCUCGUAGGCGGUUUGUCGCGUCUGCUGUGAAAACCCGAGGCUCAACCUCGGGCCUGCAGUGGGUACGGGCAGACUAGAGUGCGGUAGGGGAGAUUGGAAUUCCUGGUGUAGCGGUGUAAUGCGCAGAUAUCAGGAGGAACACCAAUGGCGAAGGCAGAUCUCUGGGCCGUAACUGACGCUGAGGAGCGAAAGCAUGGGGAGCGAACAGG